rnacentral:rRNA from 1 species
AUGCACCUCUGGACCCUGGAGGGGGCAGCCGACGCGCUCGGCGACAAGGUCAUCAUCGACCGCCUCGACAGCCGCACCUUCGAGCGGGCGGACACGAAGACAUUCGCCAUUUGUGUGUGGGUAUGGCAGCUGCACCACAUCCCCACCAGCCGGACGCUUUGGAAGCACGCCCGGGGAGCGGGGAGGGUGGAAGAGAUGCACGGCUUCUCCCCGCCAAGCCGCGUCGUCGCGCCGCCGCCGGCCCUGCUCAGGUGGGACGUCCUGGUGCACAUUGACCGCAUCGAGGACUAG